rnacentral:rRNA from 1 species
UGGKUGGAUUAGUGGCGAACGGGUGAGUAACACGUGAGUAACCUGCCCUUAACUCUGGGAUAAGCCUGGGAAACUGGGUCUAAUACCGGAUAGGAGCGUCCACCGCAUGGUGGGUGUUGGAAAGAUUUAUCGGUUUUGGAUGGACUCGCGGCCUAUCAGCUUGUUGGUGAGGUAAUGGCUCACCAAGGCGACGACGGGUAGCCGGCCUGAGAGGGUGACCGGCCACACUGGGACUGAGACACGGCCCAGACUCCUACGGGAGGCAGCAGUGGGGAAUAUUGCACAAUGGGCGAAAGCCUGAUGCAGCGACKCCGCGUGAGGGAUGACGGCCUUCGGGUUGUAAACCUCUUUCAGUAGGGAAGAAGCGAAAGUGACGGUACCUGCAGAAGAAGCACCGGCUAACUACGUGCCAGCAGCCGCGGUAAUACGUAGGGUGCGAGCGUUAUCCGGAAUUAUUGGGCGUAAAGAGCUCGUAGGCGGUUUGUCGCGUCUGUCGUGAAAGUCCGGGGCUUAACCCCGGAUCUGCGGUGGGUACGGGCAGACUASAGUGCAGUAGGGGAGACUGGAAUUCCUGGUGUAGCGGUGGAAUGCCCAGAUAUCAGGAGGAACACCGAUGGCGAAAGCAGGUCUCUGGGCUGUAACUGACGCUGASGAGCGAAAGCAUGGGGAGCGAACAGGAUUAGAUACCCUGGUAGUCCAUGCCGUAAA